GUGUGGUCUCUUUCUCUCAAGUCAAGUCGCUAGGGUUUUUAAACCCAGCUUGUUCCCCACUCUCAUUUUCCAAGUAAAGCAUCAAAAUCAGACAAAUCAAAAGCACGCGCUCUCUCCCUUCUUCCUCGUACAAGUUUCGCACCUUCCUCUACAUUCAAAGGGCACAAAAAAAGGGGGAGAAGAAGAUGCGGAGGCACAGUCCAGGAUACUACAGUCCGCCCAGGAGAGGGUACGGCGGCAGGGGAAGAUCUCCUCCGCCGCCACCUCCUCCGUCGAGGAGGGGUUACGGUGGUGGUGGCGGCGGCGGCGGGAGGCGCGGCAGGGAUAACAACAACAAUGGAAGCCUUCUUGUUCGCAACAUUCCCCUCGAUUGCCGACCCGAGGAGCUUCGAGUCCCCUUCGAGCGGUUCGGACCCGUUCGUGAUGUCUACAUUCCCAAGGAUUAUUACUCAGGAGAACCUCGAGGCUUUGCGUUUGUGCAAUUUGUGGAUUCUUAUGAUGCUUCAGAGGCACAGUACCAUAUGAACAGACAAAUCUUUGCCGGAAGGGAAAUAUCCGUCGUUGUUGCUGCUGAAACAAGAAAAAGACCAGAGGAAAAAAAUGUAAAGGUGGUCUUGUAUCUGAAGCAUUGCUUUAUAAAUGUAUAGCUAAAGUUUUUGGAAUUUUGCAGAGGACCAUCGAACUAUGGGGGGAGAAGGUCUUAUUAUGGUCGCUCGCGCUCUCGCUCAGUAUCACGCUCUCCACCUUAUCACUCUGGUUCUAGAAGUAGAUAUCGCUCAAGAUCAUAUUCUCCUGCUCCAAGAAGGCAAAGUGAUUACUCUAUUUCCCCUAGAAGGCAAGCAGAACACUCUAGAUCACCUCGAUCACCAAGAGGCCCCCCUAGAGAGCGAGAUGCUGAUCAGAAGCGCAGAUCAUAUACUCCAGAUUUUGGCAAUGGUGUUGAUCAGAAUCAAAGCAAUGGAUAUCCUGAGAAAUCUACAUACAAGUCUGAGGCUGAUGAAGGCCAGUGGAAGUCAUCUGGACGUAGACCAUCGAGGUCACCACCUGGAUCCAGAUCUAGGUCAAGGUCUCCUGAUUUGUCUCCUAGACAUUGAAGACGAGGUAAAAUGUCUUUGGCAAUGUGCUGCAUUCUGCUGAUUCUGUACCAAUUCAGUAUCUUUAUCAGGACAUUUUACAAAAUUGCAUAAUGUAUUGAAUGUGUUUGUAGUGUUAAGAUAUUACUGUUGUGCAGCAUUUUGGAUAUUGUGAAAUUCUGUGGUAAAACUUAACCUAGAGUCUUGAUAGUCUAGAUGAAAUGUUUGGAGCUUGUUUGAUUUGUCAAGUACCCUCUUGAACAAUUUUUCACUUAAAAA